rnacentral:rRNA from 1 species
GUUGCGGUUAAAAAGCUCGUAGUUGGAUCUCGGUUUCGGGCGAGCGGUGUACCUUGCGGUAUUUACUGUUUGCCCGGACGAUUUUGUUGGUUCGUUUAUGGUUCUCUUAACCGAGUACCAUAAGUGGCCAGCACGUUUACUUUGAAAAAAUUGGAGUGCUCAAAGCAGGCGCUACAGCCUGAACAUUAGUGCAUGGAAUAUGGAAUAGGAUCUCGGUUCUAUUUCGUUGGCUUUCGGAGUCGAGGUAAUGAUUAAUAGGGACAGACGGGGGCAUUCGUACUGCGACGUUAGAGGUGAAAUUCUUGGAUCGUCGCAAGACGAACUACUGCGAAAGCAUUUGCCAAGAAUGUUUUCAUUAAUCAAGAACGAAAGUUAGAGGUUCGAAGGCGAUCAGAUACCGCCCUAGUUCUAACCAUAAACGAUGUCGACCGGCGAUCCGUUAUCGUUAACUGAAUGACUUAACGGGCAGCCUCCGGGAACCCAGAGUGUUUGGAUUCCGGGGGAAGUAUGGUUGCAAAGCUGAAACUUAAAAGAAUUGACGGAAGGGCACCACCAGGAGUGGAGCCUGCGGCUUAAUUUGACCCAACACGGGAAAUCUCACCAGGCCCGGACACCGGAAGGAUUGACAGAUUGAGAGCUCUUUCUUGAUUCGGUGGGUGGUGGUGCAUGGCCGUUCUUAGUUAGUGGAGCGAUUUGUCUGGUUAAUUCCGAUAACGAACGAGACUCUGGCCUACUAACUAGACGUUAGAUCCCUUUGUGGGUCUAUCGCAGCUUCUUAGAGGGACGGGCGGCGUCUAGCCGCACGAGAUUGAGCAAUAACAGGUCUGUGAUGCCCUUAGAUGUUCUGGGCUGCACGCGCGCUACACUGAAGGAAUCAGCGUGUGUUCCCUACCCGAAAGGGUUGGGAAACCCGUUGAACCUCCUUCGUGAUGGGGAUUGGGGAUUGCAAUUAUUCCCCAUGAACGAGGAAUUCCCAGUAGGCGCGAGUCAUAAGCUUGCGUCGAUUACGUCCCUGCCCUUUGUACACACCGCCCGUCGCUACUACCGAUCGAGUGAUUUAGUGAGGCCUUCGGACUGGUCUUCAGUAUGGCUUUCGGGUCGUGUUGGAGUACCGGAAAGAUGACCAAACUUGAUCACUUAGAGGAAGUAAAAGUCGUAACAAGGUUUCCGUAGGAACCUGCGGAAG